GACGGCGCCCCCAGCGGAGCGGGAAGUCCCGCCCACACCGUCUCGUUCCCGCGCGGAAACGCCCUUGCAAGUCCUUGGCCACGCCGCGUGGGCGGGUGCGGGGCAUUGUGGGUGAUGUAGUUCUCGCGGCCCCGCCCGCCGCCGGGGAGGGCCCGUCCCGCCAGGACCUGGAGUCCUGGAAGCCGUGGCAGCAGCGGGGGUCCAGGCAGCGGUCUGCCCUGGCGGCCGCCCCACACAGGAAUUCAAGCCGCCUCCUCCGUCCUGAGCUCUGCCUACACGGAAAUCCACAAGUAUGGUAUGAAACUUCCACAUAGUUUAAAGGCUGGACGAAAUCUUUUUUUUUUUUUUUUUUGUCUUUUGUUGUUGUUGUUGUUGUUGUUGUUGCUAUUUCUUGGGCCGCUCCCGCGGCAUAUGGAGGUUCCCAGGCUAGGGGUUGAAUCGGAGCUGUAGCCACCGGCCUACGCCAGAGCCACAGCAACGCAGGAUCCGAGCCGCGUCUGCAACCUACACCACAGCUCACGGCAACGCCGGAUCGUUAACCCACUGAGCAAGGGCAGGGACCGAACCCGCAACCUCAUGGUUCCUAGUCGGAUUUGUUAACCACUGUGCCACGACGGGAACUCCCCCCUUUUUUUUUUUCUUUUUUGUCUUUUGGUCUGUUGUUGUUGUUGUUGUUGUUGCUGCUAUUUCUUGGGCCGCUCCCGCGGCAUAUGGAGGUUCCCAGGCUAGGGGUUGAAUCGGAGCUGCAGCCACCGGCCUACGCCAGAGCCACAGCAACGAGGGAUCCGAGCCGCGUCUGCAAGCUACACCACAGCUGAGCAAGGCCAGGGACCAAACCCGCAACCUCAUGGUUCCUAGUCGGAUUCGUUAACCACUGCGCCACAACAGGAACUCCUGGACGAAAUCUUUUUUUUUUUUUUUUUUUUUUUUUUUUGGUCUUUUUGUCUUUUUUGUUGUUGUUGCUAUUUCUUGGGCCGCUCCUGCGGCAUAUGGAGGUUCCCAGGCUAGGGGUUGAAUCGGAGCUGUAGCCACCGGCCUACGCCAGAGCCACAGCAAGGCAGGAUCCGAGCCGCGUCUGCAACCUACACCACAGCUCACGGCAACGCCGGAUCGUUAACCCACUGAGCAAGGGCAGGGACUGAACCCGCAACCUCAUGGUUCCUAGUCGGAUUCGUUAACCACUGCGCCACGACGGGAACUCCAUGGACGAAAUCUUAAAGUAGGAGCCCCUUUAGGAAAGACAUGUUCUUCCAGUAGGAAAGUUAUUUUUCGAGCUGAACAAGCGAGGAGGAAACUCCCUAAAUGACUGGCUCGCAUCACAUUUUAUACCGCCUCUGUUCCUAAUAGGACAUGUCUACUUCCCAUUGGAGAUCGGUUUUGCUGGGUGGCGUUUACUCAUGGAAAGAGGGCUGGAUUUCCCUGGCUUUAUUUGGGGAAUGGAAGAGAGCCU
rnacentral:lncRNA from 1 species